AGAAGAGGAAAGCGCAAGCACGUAAUUUUCACUAGCACAUCAUAUAUAGAGAACUAGGGCAGUCACAGCCUAAUUUAAAGAAUCAUUCAAGCUGUCACAAUGAGAGUUUGGGAACGAGUGAUUUGCAAUCAAGUUUGCCCUUCCUCCCAAAAUCAACAUUGUAUAAGUUCCUAGCAAACCAAAAUAACAGAAGAUCGCGUCAAACUGAUCUUCAGUCAAUUCAGAACGACAUUUUGUUUUUAGCUUCUCAAUUCUGGCUGCACACAUUCACAACGAUCAUAUGAACUGGUAUUUCCCACCAAUCAUUGGGCAUUUUAUAGAAGAAAUUACAAUAAAACCACUGAUUCAUGUAUUCCACAUACUGCGAUUUAAGCAUUCUUGUGCAUAUGCUUUUAAUGAGGGUAUGGACAUCGAUCACUCACUUGAGAUCCAUGUGAAAAUUCUCAAGUGGGUGCUGGAAUUGUGAGGUUACCUGUGGGAAUUCACAAUUGGAUAGAAACAAUUCGAAUGCUUCUAGGAGAGUAGAAAAUGAUUAAGCUUUCUGUUCUAAUGCCGGCUUUCACAAAACCAGUAUCUAAUGGCUUAAUAGCAGCAGCAGCUAUUCUUUUAUGCUUGCUUAUAAUGCAUCUGAGUCCAUGGCCUACAACCAGCAAUCAAGCUUAUCUUGAAACUAUUCCUACCAGGAGCAUGACAUACAGAAAGCAUUUUAUUUCAAAACAUAUAUGGAAUGUGCAGAGUCGUGUAGAUUGGAAGCCUUGUGAAUGGUGGACUGCAAAGCCUUUGACAGGUUUUCCACAAAAAAGCACCGGAUACAUUAAAGUUGAUUGCUAUGGUGGUCUGAAUCAAAUGCGUAGAGAUUUAUGUGAUGGUGUAGACAUUGCCCGUCUGCUCAAUGCAACAUUAGUUCUGCCAGAUUUUGAAGCAGCUUCAUAUUGGAAUGAUACAAGUGGUUUUGCAGACAUUUUUGAUGUAGACUAUUUCAUUCAACGGACAAAAGACUUUGUCCAUGUUGUGAAAGAACUACCAAAAGAGUUGGCCUCAAAAAAACCAGUUAGAGUUGACUGUCGUAAGCAGAAGGGUCAUUUUGAUUACAUUGAAUCUGUACUUCCAUCUUUAACUAAGCAUCAAUAUAUUGUCAUUACCCCAGCAGCGAGUCAAACACCAGAUAGACACCCAGUUUUUGCCAAGGCAGCUCGUUGUCAUGUAUGCUUCAAAGCUUUACGACUUGUUCCUGCCAUUCAGAAAAUGGGAGCUGAACUCCUGCAAAAAAUACCUCAACCCAUUCUGUCUCUACAUAUGAGAUUUGAGCCUGACAUGAUAGCUUACAGUAGAUGCCAAUAUAAUGAUCUUUCCCAAAGCUCUCUGGAUGCAAUCAACUCAGCUAGAAAUGGCAGGACAAUCAUCUCGGGUGAUGCUGCAGUAACAUGGAGGAAGAGAGGAAAAUGUCCUCUUACUCCAAGAGAGACAGCCUUUAUUCUACAAGCACUUGGAAUUCCUACCAACACAACUGUUUAUUUGGCUGCUGGUGAAAGCCUAUUGGAAUCAAAGGAUUUUACUUCAAUUUACAGGAACAGUUACACCAAAUCUUCUCUUCUGGACAAAGCAAGUCUGAUGGCAAUGCGGGGCAAUAGCAGAGCUGCAUUAGACUACUAUGUAUCCAUCAACAGUGACGCAUAUAUUGGUACAUACUUUGGGAACAUGGAUAAGAUGGUAGCUGCAAUGAGAGCUUUGAAUGGACAAUCAAAGACUCUUUUUCUCAACAGGAGAGCGUUUGCAGAAGCUAUUUUGAAAGGCCUUGAAGGGGAGAAAUUAGCAGAAUAUUUAUGGGAAACUCAUAGUAAAGCUUUAGUUGAUGGGAGAGGCUCUGCUCUACCUGACUGCUUUUGCAUGUCAAAUCUAACAAAUUCUUCAUGACCGUAAGAAGGUUUCACAUUUUCUGUGCAUCUCACUAGCUGGAGAAUUUCUCUGCAGUUCAACCUCCAAAUAACCAUGGAUUCAGAAUUACAUCAUAUCGAUUUGGAAAAUCAAAAGAAACCUGGGAUGAUAAAUAAGUUGUUUGGAGCCAAAGCAACAAAUGCAAAGUUCUCUUUGAAGGUGCAAUCAUUUAGAUUCAAAAUGUCAGAUGAAAUUACUAUGUCUAACCACAAGCAAUCUAAGAUCUCUCAUUAAACGACUAGCAGAAGUUGACGUUGUGGAAGAUAAAGAGGAUGUUAAAGUUUCUUGUUAAAUAGUUUGCCUUGAAGAUACAGCAAUGUUAUUUUUUCUUUCAGUUAGAUGCUCUCACAAACUUUAGAAGGUGUGGUUUCAAUGCUCUUGGCUGAAAAAAAGAUAGCAAUUAUGAGAGAUAAAGCAAGAGUUUGCACUAUACUCAAAGAAAAGGUUGGGAAAGAGAAUGUCAGGUAAGAAUGAGAUUAAGUGUUACUACUGUAGGAAAAUAGGUCAUAGUGCAAUUAAUUAUAAAAUUUGUGCAAGUGACCUUCUCAAAGGGAAAGUUAAUGAAUCACUAAAUAUAGCUUUUGUUGAGGAACCACUAGAUGUUGAUAGUGAUGAUGACAUCAUUGAAGAUGAUGAACUUGUCCUAUUUUGAAGAGGUCAACACUUAGAAAAUAGAGAGGGAUGCGGUAGAGAAUAUUUGGAUGCUUAAUAGUUUGAGGUGCUUGUAGAUCGGAGAAACUAGACCUCAUCGAGGUUAUGAGACAUACAUGUGAGGAUUGGUGUCCAAUAGUUCAGGGGAGACCCAACAUUUGGAAGCUCAGCGUUAUAUCUUUACGAAGGUGAUGAGACACUUCAUGUGCAAAUAGUGUCCAAUGAUGUUGGGAACUUGGAUGAUAGCAAGGUGACUAUACCUGCAAUUGGGGGGCAGCUUGAAGGAUGUCUUGUUGGUCCUAGACCUAUUUUCAAAGGACAGCUUCUACAUAAUGUAUUGUUGGGAACUUGGAUGAUAGCAAGGUGACUAUACCUGCAAUUGGGGGGCAGCUUGAAGGAUGUCUUAUUGGUCCAAGAACUAUUUUCAAAGGAUAGCUUCUACAUAAUGUAUUGUUUUGUCUUAUGUUGAUUAGUCAGAUUGUACUAUUCAGAGAUAUGUUAAGAGUCCAUCAAAAUUAUGUUAUUUCUUAAGGGGGAGUGUUAGAAUAAGUAAUAACAAAAUUACAUUUCUGUUGUUAAGCGUUGAAUAGGUGUUGACAACAAUUGUUGAGAGUCCCAGUUCAUUGUCUCUAGAUCUAGUUUGUUGUCAAAAGUUUGAGUUUCUUGGCAACAGUUUUAGUUUGCUGUCAUUUCUAUCAGCAUAAUUAUAGGACCUUGUUGAAGUCAAUUGUAUCUAUAUAAUUGUAUUCUCCAUUGAUUAAUAAUAAACCAUGAUUGAGUU